UACAGAGGGCGCGAGCGUUGUCCGGAAUCACUGGGCGUAAAGGGCGCGUAGGUGGCCACCAUAAGGCCACGGUGAAAGUUCGGGGCUCAACCCCGGAUCGGCCGCGGCGACUGUGGGGCUCGGGUACUGUAGAGGCAGAUGGAAUUCCGGGUGUAGCGGUGGAAUGCGCAGAUAUCAGGAAGAACACCCGUGGCUAAGGCGGCUCUCUAGUACGGUACUGACGCUGAGACGCGAAAGCGUGGGGAGCGAACAGG
rnacentral:rRNA from 1 species